rnacentral:lncRNA from 1 species
UGCCAUGUAAGAUAGGACUUUGCUUCUCAUUCGCCUUCUGCCAUGAUUGUGAGGCCUCCCCAGACAUGUGGAACUGAUGCUAUAUUGAAUUUUUGGAGAGAAAGUGAAACAUGUCUGGGUCUAAGCAAGAAGUGAAUAUCUGCUUGGAGAUUCUGUACAAGAUGGUGGGGCUAGAGAAGCAACCUAGAAAGCAGAUUCCCCUGAGGAGUACAUCAUUUUUAUCCUCUAAUUGCCGGAGAUCCAUGAUGGAGACCUCGAUUUCCAUCAGACGGCAAACCUCCUCUCUCAUUUUUAGGCUUGGCCAUGAAAAAGAUGGUUUGGACAGGACCGUGGU